AUUGAACGCUGGCGGCAGGCCUAACACAUGCAAGUCGAACGAGUGGCGGACGGGUGAGUAAUGUCUGGGGAACUGCCUGAUGGAGGGGGAUAACUAAUGGAAACGGUAGCUAAUACCGCAUACCAUCAGAUGUACCCAGAUGGGAUUAGCUAGUUGGUGGGGUAACGGCUCACCAAGGCGACGAUCCCUAGCUGGUCUGAGAGGAUGACCAGCCACACUGGAACUGAGACACGGUCCAGACUCCGAGGGGAGGCAGCAGUGGGGAAUAUUGCAAAAUGGGGGGAAGCCUGAUGCAGCCAUGCCGCGUGUAUGAAGAAGGCCUUCGGGUUGUAAAGUACUUUCAGCGGGGAGGCGUUACCCGAAGAAGAAGCACCGGCUAACUCCGUGCCAGCCGCCGCGGUAAUUC
rnacentral:rRNA from 1 species